rnacentral:rRNA from 1 species
CAAUAGCGUAUAUUAAAGUUGUUGCGGUAAAAAAGCUCGUAGUUGGAUUUCUACCGAAGAUAGCCGGUCGGGUCUUCGACCUUGUAUCUGGUUUUGUCUUUGGUAUCCUCAUAGGGAACGUUUCUGCGCUUUAUUGCGUGGUGCGGUAUCUAUGACUUUUACUUUGGGGAAAUUAGAGUGUUCACGGCAGGCAAACGCCUUGAAUAUAUUAGCAUGGAAUAAUAACAUAGGAUCUUCGUCCUAUUUUGUUGGUUUCUAGGGCUAAGAUAAUGAUUAAUAGGGAUAAUUGGGGGCAUCUGUAUCAACGCGUCAGAGGUGGAAUUCUUGGAUUGCGUUGCGACAAACUACUGCGAAAGCAUUUGCCAGGGAUGUUUUCAUUGA